rnacentral:rRNA from 1 species
GAUGAACGCUGGCGGCGUGCCUAAUACAUGCAAGUCGAGCGAACAGACGAGGAGCUUGCUCCUCUGACGUUAGCGGCGGACGGGUGAGUAACACGUGGAUAACCUACCUAUAAGACUGGGAUAACUUCGGGAAACCGGAGCUAAUACCGGAUAAUAUAUUGAACCGCAUGGUUCAAUAGUGAAAGACGGUUUUGCUGUCACUUAUAGAUGGAUCCGCGCCGCAUUAGCUAGUUGGUAAGGUAACGGCUUACCAAGGCGACGAUGCGUAGCCGACCUGAGAGGGUGAUCGGCCACACUGGAACUGAGACACGGUCCAGACUCCUACGGGAGGCAGCGGUAGGGAAUCUUCCGCAAUGGGCGAAAGCCUGACGGAGCAACGCCGCGUGAGUGAUGAAGGUCUUCGGAUCGUAAAACUCUGUUAUUAGGGAAGAACAAAUGUGUAAGUAACUAUGCACGUCUUGACGGUACCUAAUCAGAAAGCCACGGCGAACUACGU